AAUUCGCUUUGUUUUGAAAACAAAGAGUGGGAUUAAAAAUCCCGAAAGUCUAAAAAGAGUUAGUAUA
rnacentral:tRNA from 1 species